CGCACGCGUUCGUUCCCACCGCUGAAAUCUUAUCCUCUCGACUCCUCUCUCGUCCCGUUUCUUCCUCUUCCUCUUUUCCCAUUGUUCCCUUCUCACUUUCCUCAUCUUCAUUCGCAACGCAACUGCUGUGUCCACGGGAGACGCUGGAGACGAUGCACGGUUGGGUCCUGCUGCGAAGCUUCCGUCGUCCAUGCGCUCCGAUGCUGCCCGGAGGACGCGCUGUCGUGCUCGCCUGCGCAAGCUGCGGGUUUUGCAAGGCAGGGGCUCGCUGCUGCUAGCCCGCACGAGCUGCUCCAAGGGAAGCCCCGGCCUUUUUUUUCGUAAGGUGACCAGAAACAUGGUUGCUACAGCUUGAGGGAGUAUAGCUGGUGCUCCUCCGGAGUUACUCACGCGAUGCGGGAAGGAAGUCGCCAUGGAACAACCCAGCCGCCUUGGAGCUCGCCUCGCCUCCGGCCCACCACCUCUCCGUCGGCCUCGUGCUCCUUCGCCGCGAUCCGUUCGCCCUGCCGCUGGAUCCACGCCGGAGCAGCCGUAUCCGCCGCCCAGACCACCAACCAAGAGUCGCCUCUUGCCUGUCCUGCGGUCCGGAGGAAGACGACCGAGAGGAGCGCCCAUUCAUCCACCCCCUUGGAGCUCGUGCUGCCUUCGGGCCGCCACCUCUCCGUCGGCCUCGAUCCGUCUGCCCCGCCGCCCAGCCCACCAACCAAGCGCCGCCUCUUGCCUAUCCUGUGGUCGCAGGUCGAAUAAUAAAAACUGCAGGGUCCUUUAUGUAAAAGCGAAUCAUUUUUUCGGAUUAGCCACUUAAAAAUAGGACCGCGGGUCAAAUUCUCAGAAACAGAUGGACUUUUAUGCAAAAUCGUGCGCGACGCACGGGCAGAAACCCAAUUCUCUUUAUUAUUAGGUAAAGAUUACUCGCUAGUUGAUUAUUCCAUUGAUAUAAGUAAAUGUGAGACCUAAGUGAAUAUGGUUAGUUCAUGAUCUUUCUUGAAAACCUGAACAUCAGUUAGACAUAUUUACAUCAAUAAGAUCAAAUAGAGUUUGUAAAAGACUUUCUUUGUCACUUUCAGUUUGUCAACUGAAUUGAUUGAAGACAAGCAAUGGGUUAAGCUUGGGGGAGUUGAUACAUCUUCAUCGUAUCUACUUUUUCAAACUCUUUUGCCCUUAUUUUGGACUUUAA